GACGAACGCUGGCGGCGUGCUUAACACAUGCAAGUCGAACGGAAAGGCCCUGCUUUUGUGGGGUGCUCGAGUGGCGAACGGGUGAGUAACACGUGAGUAACCUGCCCUCGACUUUGGGAUAACUUCAGGAAACUGGGGCUAAUACCGGAUAGGAGCUCCUGCUGCAUGGUGGGGGUUGGAAAGUUUCGGCGGUUGGGGAUGGACUCGCGGCUUAUCAGCUUGUUGGUGGGGUAGUGGCUUACCAGGGCUUUGACGGGUAGCCGGCCUGAGAGGGUGACCGGCCACAUUGGGACUGAGAUACGGCCCAGACUCCUACGGGAGGCAGCAGUGGGGAAUAUUGCACAAUGGGCGGAAGCCUGAUGCAGCAACGCCGCGUGCGGGAUGACGGCCUUCGGGUUGUAAACCGCUUUCGCCUGUGACGAAGCGUGAGUGACGGUAAUGGGUAAAGAAGCACCGGCUAACUACGUGCCAGCAGCCGCAGUAA
rnacentral:rRNA from 1 species